ACGCACGCUGGCGGCGUGCUUAACACAUGCAAGUCGAACGGAAAGGCCCUGCUUUUGUGGGGUGCUCGAGUGGCGAACGGGUGAGUAACACGUGAGUAACCUGCCCUUGACUUUGGGAUAACUUCAGGAAACUGGGGCUAAUACCGGAUAGGAGCUCCUGCUGCAUGGUGGGGGUUGGAAAGUUUCGGCGGUUGGGGAUGGACUCGCGGCUUAUCAGCUUGUUGGUGGGGUAGUGGCUUACCAAGGCUUUGACGGGUAGCCGGCCUGAGAGGGUGACCGGCCACAUUGGGACUGAGAUACGGCCCAGACUCCUACGGGAGGCAGCAGUGGGGAAUAUUGCAUAAUGGGCGGAAGCCUGAUGCAGCAACGCCGCGUGCGGGAUGACGGCCUUCGGGUUGUAAACCGCUUUCGCCUGUGACGAAGCGUGAGUGACGGUAAUGGGUAAAGAAGCACCGGCUAACUACGUG
rnacentral:rRNA from 1 species